rnacentral:rRNA from 1 species
GAUGAACGCUGGCGGCGUGCUUAACACAUGCAAGUCGGACGGACACAUCUUUCGGGGUGUGUUAGUGGCAGACGGGUGCGUAACACGUAGGUAACCUGCCCUGGAGUGGGGAAUAAUUCCGCUAACGCGGGACUAAUACCGCAUAGGCUCGGUAGCGUGAGGCUACUGCGUAAAGCUGAGAGGCGCUUCAGGAUGGGCCUGCGGCGGAUUAGGUAGUUGGUGGGGUAACGGCCUACCAAGCCGAUGAUCCGUAGGGGGCGUGAGAGCGUGGCCCCCCACACUGGCACUGAGAUACGGGCCAGACUCCUACGGGAGGCAGCAGUGAGGAAUAUUGCACAAUGGGCGCAAGCCUGAUGCAGCAACGCCGCGUGCGGGACGACGGCCUUCGGUGUAAACCGCUUUUCUGAGGGACGAGCGAGGACGGUACCUUACGGAAGUAAGUCUCGGCUAACUACGUGCCAGCAGCCGCGGUAACUGUAGUCGU